AGUGAACGCUGGCGGUAGGCCUAACACAUGCAAGUCGAACGGCAGCACAGGAGAGCUUGCUCUCUGGGUGGCGAGUGGCGGACGGGUGAGGAAUACAUCGGAAUCUACCUUUUCGUGGGGGAUAACGUAGGGAAACUUACGCUAAUACCGCAUACGACCUACGGGUGAAAGUGGGGGACCGCAAGGCCUCACGCGAUUAGAUGAGCCGAUGUCCGAUUAGCUAGUUGGCGGGGUAAUGGCCCACCAAGGCGACGAUCGGUAGCUGGUCUGAGAGGAUGAUCAGCCACACUGGAACUGAGACACGGUCCAGACUCCUACGGGAGGCAGCAGUGGGGAAUAUUGGACAAUGGGCGCAAGCCUGAUCCAGCCAUACCGCGUGGGUGAAGAAGGCCUUCGGGUUGUAAAGCCCUUUUGUUGGGAAAGAAAUCCUAUC
rnacentral:rRNA from 1 species